rnacentral:rRNA from 1 species
AUUGAACGCUGGCCGCAGGCCUAACACAUGCAAGUCGAGCGGAGCGGCGGACGCGCGAGUAAUGACUAGGUAUCUGCUCGGCAGUGGGGGAUAACGCCCGGAAUAGGGCGCUAAUACCGCACACUAUCAGAUGAAUCUAGGUCGGACGAACUAGUUGGUGGGGUAAAGGCCGACCAAGGCGACGAUCCAUAACUGGUCUGAGAGGAUGAUCAGUCACACUGGAACGGAGACGCGGUGCAGAAUCCUACGGGAGGCAGCAGUGGGGAAUAUUGGGCAAUGGGCGGAAGCCUGAUCCAGCCAUUCCGCGUGUGUGAAGAAGGUCUUCGGAUCGUAAAGCACUUUAAGUUGGGAAGCGUUACCUACAGAAUAAGCACCGGCUAACUUCGUGCCAGCAGCCGCGGUAAUAC